AUACGGAGGGUGCAAGCGUUACUCGGAAUCACUGGGCGUAAAGCGCGCGCAGGCGGUCUUUUAAGUUGGAUGUGAAAGCCUACGGCUCAACCGUAGAACUGCAUCCAAAACUAUUAGACUAGAGUGUGGGAGAGGAAGAUGGAAUUAGUUGUGUAGGGGUAAAAUCCGUAGAAAUAACUAGGAAUACCAAAAGCGAAGGCAAUCUUCUGGAACACUACUGAUGCUGAGGCGCGAAAGCGUGGGGAGCAAACAGGAUUAGAAACCCUUGUAGUCC
rnacentral:rRNA from 1 species